rnacentral:rRNA from 1 species
CGUAGGUGGCAAGCGUUGUCCGGAUUUAUUGGGUUUAAAGGGUGCGUAGGCGGCUUUGUAAGUCAGUGGUGAAAUAUGGCAGCUCAACUGUCAGGGUGCCAUUGAUACUGCAGAGCUUGAGUACAGAUGAGGUAGGCGGAAUUGACGGUGUAGCGGUGAAAUGCUUAGAUAUCGUCAAGAACACCGAUAGCGAAGGCAGCUUACUGGGCUGUAACUGACGCUGAGGCACGAAAGUGUGGGAUCAAACAGGAUU